ACGCACUUCCUCCUACAGGACCAGGCCCAAAAGUGUGCCCAGGCCCAAAAGUGUGCGGCUAGAGAGGAAGCAUUCAACAAAGAGCCUAUGGGGACGAUGUGUAUCCAAACCUUAGCACCAAUCACUUUGUAAUUUAUUUACCAUCACCAUAACAGAAGCGCCAUGAGUGGCCGUCAGCUGUCGGCUUCACAUGGAGUCUGAUGGGACUCGCUGUAAACAGAAACAUCCACAAACGUCGCUCAGCUCCUGGAGAACAGCGAGGCCUCUUCUUUACUCGGGCAUUUUUAGUGCUGUGACCUCGGGCUUCAUUUUAAAGUACUGGUUAAAACGGACAACCGCAUACCUAGUGGGGAAAGAACAAGGCAGAGUCAGAGCUGCCCUAGCUGACUGCACAAAGGUGGAACUGCCAGUGUGCAUGCUUCACCUGCUGCUGCCCCUGCUGGACACUCCCCAUGCCGAGCAUGCAAAGGCAACAGAAGCGCCAGGAGACUGCUCAGAAGGUAACCGAAGUGGCCUCCACCAGUCAAACCCGGCAAGCUUUCAGUCUCCAGAGCCCACAUGGCAGAAGAAGAGAAAGAAUUCUCCUAGGUCCUCCUCUGACCCCACCCACCAAUCCUGUGGCAUGAGCAUCUCACGCCCACACAAAGUAAAUAAAUGCAUGUAAAAAUUG
rnacentral:lncRNA from 1 species